CGUUGCUUCCAUAAGACUGUACAACAAAAAGGGACAGAACAUUGAAAUCAUUCUUAAACUUAUGAAUAACUCACGUUGCCAGUUUGUUUAUUAACUUACAUUUCAUUUGUAUAUGUCAUCGUUUUGAAUAUAUACAUUCCGUCUGCUGAAAACUGUUAUUUGAAUUUGUCGCUCAAAUAUAUUAAAAUUAUUGCUACAAAUAGACCGUUCGGUUGAGUUAUUUUUCUAUUUAUUAUUUAUCGCCUAUUAGUAUUGUAAAUAAAUUGUAUUAAAAAAAUUAUGCUGUUCGUUAUAUUAUCGGUUUAGUUACACAUUAUUCAAUGUACUGCUUUUACUUUAAUAUAGUAGUUUUUCUGGUUUUUUUUUUUUAGCAGAAAUUGUUAUAUUUGAUGCUAGUUUUACUUUUUACAUUUUAAACUAAAUAUAUAUUGUAAUUUAUAUUAAUUAAAUUAUAGUUGAGAAUUAAUCUACAUAUGAUAUCCAAUACUCACAAAAAAAUCAUCAAAUUUGAUGAUUCAUGGGUGUUUCUUUGCCCAUACGAAGCUAAAAUAGCAAUACAGCAAAAAUGAAUGAAAACCAACUUACUACAUAAUUUAUAGUUGGAAAAAUAGUUAUGGAAAAAAAACUAUACAGUUAAAACGGAUAUAUGGCAUCUUGCAUUAAACAUUAUAUCAAAUAUAAUAAGCACUAAUGAACUUUGUAAUGAAUUGGUCCAAAUUAUUUGAGGGUAAAAUUACUCUACAUAAUGCAGUAAAGUUACUAAGAGCUUUUACUAAACAUUUUUAUUUAUUUUGUCCAGGCCAAUCCCAAGGUGGAUUUAUGAUUAUCAAUGAUGGAAAUAAUCGAAUCGUUAGAAAUUAGAGAUGGGAUUUUUGACUCUCUGAUAUGAAUCAGUUCACUCAAAUGGGUUGACGUAGUGAGUCAACUCCAAAUCCCAAAUCGUCGAAUCUUUAAAGGUGCGAUUCUGACUUGUGAGUUGUAGAAGUUUGUGGAACGCGAAUUACGACUCGUAACUCAUACUCGUAGAGUGCCUUCUAAAUGCGCCUUAAUAGUUAUCUUAGCUAGAUUAAUAUCAAAUAUGAAAUAUCGAUGAACUAUUGUUUUACCCAAAUGUGAAUGAUAAUUCAUUUUACUCAUUGUAAAUAAUAAUUAUUUAUUACCUGCUAUUGUAAAAUGAUACGUAAUAUUGCUAUCAAUAAUUUUUUAUUCAUUAUUUGUUUAUAUAUAUAUUGGAAUUAAAUUAAAGCGCGAAAGAAAUGAAAAUCAAAUUCAAAUUGUAUGUACAUUAUGGAAAAAGUAGUUGGUUAUUACUAAUUAGUAAUUUUAUGAGAUGAUAAGCCUCAAACCCUGAUUUUUACCUAUAAGAUGGUUGAGCUAAUUUUAAGUUAAAACUUCUAAUCAUUCAAUAUUUUUAUUCCUUUUUUCUUCUAUUAAAAUUUUAGAUUCUCAAUACAUAUCCACAAUAGUUACACAAAAAGUAAUUUAUUUGGUUAUUUGAUAUUUAUAAAAUAUUUUUGUAUUAAAUUGUUUAAUAUUUUUACUAAUUAUAUUUAAAUUUAUUAAUUAUUAUUGAAAUAAAGAGGAAAUUAAAAAUCUAAAAAAACUAUUUUUUUAUUAUUAACAUCAACACAUAGAUUUAUUUGGGAGAGCACCUUUGCCACGAAUUGAUGAUGCUCCGACAUUUACAUACU